CCUACGGGUGGCAGCAGUGAGGAAUAUUGGUCAAUGGGCGCGAGCCUGAACCAGCCAAGUCGCGUGAGGGAAGACGGUCCUAUGGAUUGUCAACCUCUUUUGUCGGGGAGCAAAAGACGCCACGCGUGGCGUUCCGAGAGUACCCGAAGAACAAGCAUCGGCUAACUCCGUGCCCGCCGCCGCGGUAAUACGGCGGAUGCGAGCGUUAUCCCGAUUUAUUGGGUUUAAAGGGUGCGCAGGCGGAAGAUCAAGUCAGCGGUAAAAUUGAGAGGCUCAACCUCUUCGAGCCGUUGAAACUGGUUUGCUUGAGUGAGUGAGAAGUAUGCGGAAUGCGUGGUGUAGCGGUGAAAUGCAUAGAUAUCACGCAGAACUCCGAUUGCGAAGGCAGCAUACCGGCGCUCAACUGACGCUCAUGCACGAAAGUGUGGGUAUCGAACAGGAUUAGAUACCCCUGUAGUC
rnacentral:rRNA from 1 species